GAUGUCUCGUGUCCGCGCGCCGUCUCGUAGUACCUAAUUUAGUAAUUAUUAUUAUAACCGGGAUAGAACACGAUAACAUAAUAUUAUUAUGUACUCAAUGUAAAUUAAUAUGACAUUUUGACGGUCGUAUUGUGUUCGGGAAUUAUAUGAUGACGUCAGCUGUAGUCGCACUCGGGAUGUCCUCGACAUCCACCGAAAAUCCACUUUACAAGAUUUAGGUUUAUGUGCUUACCCCGCACACACUAAAUCCAUAUGACCGGACCGAAAUAUACUCUGGCCGAAAUUUAUGGGGUACCUAUAGCUGCAUUCAUUGUCCUCGAAUAUGUUUUGUUUCGAAAUAAAAGUCAGCUUCAUUAUAAAAUAAUGAGAUAAUGAGUGCAUACACUUGGCAGAAAUCCAAUGAUGGUGGAGAAAUUCAAAAUGUGCGCAGUUUUGAAAAACUGCUCGUCCAAGUCUUAUGAUUAUUUUCGUAUAAACUUGUCUAUGUUUGACUAUAUUUUAAAUUCUAUCAAAGAGAAUUCGGCAAAAUAUUCAAAUUAAAAUAGACGCUACACGCCUAUUCGGUAUAUUGAGAUUGAGUCCGAAGUAUAAUUAGCUGUUAAAACUGGC